AUGGGGAUCAUGGGAAGGAGGAGGACACAGGUAGGGGAAGGAGAAGGCUGCGUGUCAGACUGUGGGGCAAGGACAGGGGCCUCUCCUGAUUUGACAGUUUCUACUCCAGAGACUUGGUACAAGUGACUUUAUUUUUCCAAGCACCCAUUUUUCUAGAGGUCAUUGUAGCAGAAAACAUCCUAUACCUCUCACAUUGAAGAAAGCACCGGCACAAGGCUUGCCACACAGUGGGCCUUCAACACGUGGGCCCUGUUUCUCUGUGUCACUACAGAUGGGUGAGAUAGAAGGUCCUGGUGAAACCUAGGGACACGGUGGCGAGGGCCACAGAGGCCCAUGGCAAAGUCCAGAGGCCAACAGAGAAAGCCUCCUGGAAGUGGUCCAGCUUGUCCUUCGUGAUCUGUGGUGGCUGGACAAAAUGCUGGCAAGAACCAUUCCCUGAAAACAGAAGGUCACCGUGUCUCUCCAGAGCCUUUGCAGAUUAAAAUGCAAACACUUAUGGUUCCCUGAUGUUUUCUUCACUGUGUAUCUGGGAGAGAAUUUUAAAAAGGCUUGUACAGAUUAAUAAUAUCUCAGGAAAAAUAUGUCAGAAGGGGUGUGGGAAGGAAAACAGGCUGGGCAGGACAAAGGACAUGUCCAAGCCAUGGGGUGGGUCUAUGGUUUCCACAGUCCUUUGGAGUCCCACCUUCUGGUAUGGCAGAAACCCUGCCAGUCUCUGUCUAUAGGUGCUACCCACCCACCCAAGUGUUUAAUCCCCUCACCUCUUGUUUCCAGACUCUCGGAUCUGAGCCCCCUGCCAUGUUCCACCAUGGAGCAUCAUCCACCAGAACAGCAGGGCCCCACUGCCUCUGACCAGGCCUCGGUUCCUGCGAUCUUAGAGUGUCAGGAGACACUGGAGGCUGCCGAGGCCCUGAUGACUCUGAAGAACUCUUCUUGGACCUGGCGCCAGACCCACAGCUAACCAGGUCUUGCUUGAGUUGGAGCAGUGAAGCCUCCCAGCCCAUCCUGUGAUUCAGAUGCACUCGUUGGCUCCAUCUCACUUCCUACUGAGCACCUACUUCCUACUGAACUGCACCUCCCUCUUGAGCUUAAGGGCCCAGAGGAGGGGGUAAAGGCUUGUUCAAGCACUGAGUAGUUGAUAUUCUGUGUGAUUCAUGUCUGAAAUGCUCAAAUGUGCUUUAAAAGCCUUCAGGCAUUUCAUAAGCUUUCAGACUCUUCAUAAUGUAGGUCCGUUCCUUGGCUUACAUAGUAUGUUAUUGUACCUCCAUCCCUUGUUCCUUUGGAAGUUGGCACUUCUUAAUGUAUGUUCUGUAGGUAAUAUGAUAAUAUGACCAGUCUGUUGGUGGGGUUCUGAGUGGGUUAGUAUGCCAGUGUUUGCAUUUGUUUUGUGAUUGCAUAUGUGCCUGGGCACUCCUGUACUUAAUACUUGCAUGUGGACACACGAGAAGUUUCAAUUUGUGUCUAGGCCUGUGUAUGUGAACAAAUAAUAAAGCAUUGGUGAGAGUCA